UACGUAGGGUGCGAGCGUUAAUCGGAAUUACUGGGCGUAAAGCGUGCGCAGGCGGUUGUACGAAGACAGAUGUGAAAUCCCCGGGCUCAACCUGGGAACUGCAUUUGUGACUGCACGGCUGGAGUGCGGCAGAGGGGGAUGGAAUUCCGCGUGUAGCAGUGAAAUGCGUAGAUAUGCGGAGGAACACCGAUGGCGAAGGCAAUCCCCUGGGCCUGCACUGACGCUCAUGCACGAAAGCGUGGAGGAACAACGAUGAU
rnacentral:rRNA from 1 species